GACGAACGCUGGCGGCGUGCUUAACACAUGCAAGUCGAACGGAAAGGCCUCUUUCGGGGGGUACUCGAGUGGCGAACGGGUGAGUAACACGUGAGUAACCUGCCCUUGACUUUGGGAUAACUUCAGGAAACUGGGGCUAAUACCGGAUAGGAGCUCCUGCUGCAUGGUGGGGGUUGGAAAGUUUCGGCGGUUGGGGAUGGACUCGCGGCUUAUCAGCUUGUUGGUGGGGUAGUGGCUUACCAAGGCUUUGACGGGUAGCCGGACUGAGAGGGUGACCGGCGGCAUUGGGACUGAGAGACGGCAGAGACUCGUACGGGAGGGAGAAGUGGGGAAUAUUGCAGAAUGGGUGGAGGCCUGAUGAAGAAGCGCCGUGGGCGGGAUGACGGCCUUAGGGUUGAAGAACGAUUUCGCUCAUGACGAAGCUUUGUGUGACGGUAGUGGGUAAAGAAGCAACGGCUAACUACGUG
rnacentral:rRNA from 1 species